rnacentral:rRNA from 1 species
GACGAACGCUGGCGGCGUGCUUAACACAUGCAAGUCGAGCGGUAAGGCCCUUUCGGGGGUACACGAGCGGCGAACGGGUGAGUAACACGUGGGUGACCUGCCCUCAGCUCUGGGAUAAGCCUGGGAAACCGGGUCUAAUACUGGAUAUGACUCCAUGACGCAUGUUGUGGGGUGGACAGCCUUGUGCGGCUGAGGAUGGGCCCGCGGCCUAUCAGCUUGUUGGUGGGGNGAUGGCCUACCAAGGCGACGACGGGUAGCCGGCCUGAGAGGGCGACCGGCCACACUGGGACUGAGACACGGCCCAGACUCCUACGGGAGGCAGCAGUGGGGAAUCUUGCGCAAUGGGCGAAAGCCUGACGCAGCGACGCCGCGUGAGGGAUGACGGCCU